GACGAACGCUGGCGGCGUGCUUAACACAUGCAAGUCGAACGGAAAGGCCCUGCUUUUGUGGGGUGCUCGAGUGGCGAACGGGUGAGUAACACGUGAGUAACCUGCCCUUGACUUUGGGAUAACUUCAGGAAACUGGGGCUAAUACCGGAUAAUAUAUUGAACCGCAUGGUUCAAUAGUGAAAGACGGUUUUGCUGUCACUUAUAGAUGGAUCCGCGCCGCAUUAGCUAGUUGGUAAGGUAACGGCUUACCAAGGCAACGAUGCGUAGCCGACCUGAGAGGGUGAUCGGCCACACUGGAACUGAGACACGGUCCAGACUCCUACGGGAGGCAGCAGUAGGGAAUCUUCCGCAAUGGGCGAAAGCUUGACGGAGCAACGCCGCGUGCGGGAUGACGGCCUUCGGGUUGUAAACCGCUUUCGCCUGUGACGAAGCGUGAGUGACGGUAAUGGGUAAAGAAGCACCGGCUAACUACGUG
rnacentral:rRNA from 1 species